AUCCAGCUGAUGAGUCUCAAAUAGGACGAAACGUGUGUCCUGGAU
rnacentral:hammerhead_ribozyme from 1 species